rnacentral:rRNA from 1 species
UCUGCAACUCGACUCCAUGAAGCUGGAAUCGCUAGUAAUCGCGGAUCAGCAUGCCGCGGUGAAUACGUUCCCGGGCCUUGUACACACCGCCCGUCACACCAUGAGAGUUGGCUGUACCAGAAGUUGUUGGGCUAACCCCACAUUAGUGGAGAGGCAGGCACCUAAGGUAUGGUUGGCGAUUAGGGUGAAGUCGUAACAAGGUAGCCGUUGGGGAACCAGCGGCUGGAUCACCUCCUUU